CUUUCUCAAGGCAAUAUGUACUGACUCACACCUCAAUUUCUUUUCCCCUUUUCACUUAUUUUCUGUCUCAUUCUCUUCUUCAUCAAACCCUCCCUCUUUCUCUCAAUAUAUACAAAAAAUCCCACCAAGCCAAAGAAAAAAAGGGAAAAAAAUGGAGGUUUUGUUGAUUUUGGUAGUGACAGCAGCAAUAUUUUGCUUGUGCAAAAUCAGAAAUUGGUGGAACUUCAACAGCACCACCAAAUCAUCAAAGAUUCCUUUGGGCAGCUUUGGAAUAUUCCCUUUUGUCGGAGAAACAAUUCACUUCAUCUCUUCCGCUUAUUCCGACCAGCCGGAGAGCUUCGUCGACAAACGCCGCCGCACGUAUGGGAAAGUUUUCAAAUCACAUUUAUUUGGUAGUCCUACUAUAGUGUCGAGUGAUGCAGAAGUGAGCAAAAUAAUUCUUCAAAGUGAUGCAAGAACAUUCAUCCCAUCUUACCCCAAAAAUCACAUGCAAAUCAUUAAUUGCGCUAUGCUUGUUAAUUUUAUAUUCUUUGUCCACAAAAAUUUAUCUAUUCUAAUUUGCAUAAAAUUUUUUCAUCACACACUACAUUACUAAUGAUAUGUUCCAACUAUCCACUAAUAUUAUUUCAACAAAAUUUUUCUUUCUCUCUCAUAGUAUUUUGCACUUUUUUCAAGCUACGAUCAAUGCGCUUUAAUAGUUUAAUGGAGGCAAAACUAAUUUAAUAGUUUGGCGAUUAAGAGAUAUAAUGUGUUUGCUAUAACAUGUAUCAAUUUGUAUCUUUGUAUUUUUACUUUUAUUAUAAUAUUUGUAAUCUCUUUAUCUUUUAAAUAAUAGAAACAUUGGGUA